rnacentral:lncRNA from 1 species
AUUAUUUACACUUUGUAAUUAUUUGUCUGUAUCUCUUUUCCUAGACUGAGAACUACUUCACAGUACUGUGUAACUUUUUCCUUAUUUUUCUAGUAUCUAUCAUCUGGAAUACAACAGAAUUUUCAUAAAUAGUUUAGAAUAAAAAUGAUACUAGCAUGUUUAGGUUUAAGUUUGUUUCUUUUUGAGUCUUUUUCCUGUUGUGUAAAAUGGCCUUUAACCUACAAGGACAGAUAGCUUUCAGUUCCUCUGGGUUAGAACAAAUGUUAAUUGUAUUUUGUUAGGAAGGAAUAGUUCUGUUUGCUUUGCUUUGAUUGUGUGUGUUUGUCCACAGUGGUCUGAGUAAACUGAACACAUACUUUCAGAUUUUGAGGCUUUAGAAGUUGUUUCCUAGGAUGAGAAGAUAAUAACUUUUGAUCUGUGAGAGACUCUGUUUACUCCAGAACUCCUUUAGAGAUUUUUUUAAUGAUGUUUUUAAAUAUAGGUAUCAUUUACACACUAAUUUACACUGUGCCAAUUUAAACAGAUCAGAAAACAUAGAGAACAUUUCUGUCAUCCCAGAAAGUUGUCUUGUACCAAUUUUCAAUUAUCUCACCCAUAGUCAAAUUUUGUGAUUUUUAUCAACAGAUGCUGCUGCUUCUACAACUUUAAACAUGUAGUGAGUGAUACUAAGUGUAAGUGCUCUAUGUCCAGCUUCUUUUGCUCCACUUAAUAAUGUAUUUGGGAUUUAUAUUUGCUUUGCUUGAGUCAGUAGAUUUUUUUUUUUCUUUGUGUGGCUAAGUAGUAUUGUUACUGGCUUUUAAGUCUGGAGAAAAUUCCUUCCAGGUUCUUCAUGUUGUGAACAAAGAAUUAAGACACAAAGAAAAGGCAGCAGAAGUGUAUGCUUUUUAAAGGUGGAAAAGAAGUACAUUCUGAAGAGUGAGAGUGGGCCUUGAACCAGAUUCAAAGUGACUAUGAGAAUAAUGGCAGGGCUCUUUUGUACCUGUAAUUCCUAGAUUGCUGCUCCCUUAUGUAAAUAAGACAUUUGGGACCCUUGUGCUAGCAGAAACUUACUCAGCUGGUGUCAGAUUUAGGCUGUCUAUGGAAGGCUCAGGGGGGUUUUGUGCCAAAUGUAAAUGAAGACAUGAAGAUGACACUUUCUGAUUGGUUCCAUGUACAGUGCUCAGGAACUGCAGUUACUCUGGGUCUUCUGUCCUGUGCAUGUGCCCUGGGUCUCUGGUGACUGACAGACUGUUUACCUGUUUUGUUCCAGCCCUAAUCUCCUACUUAAGUAUUCCGUUGUGUAAAUUUAUCUGUUCAUUUGCUGAUGGACAUUUGGGUGAGCUACUAUGAAUAUUACCACUAUGCACAUUAUUGUAUGUGACAUUGUGAACAAAUGUUUUCUUUUUUUAAUGUCUCAAUAAAAGAUUAUUUACAAAAAGAAGCUGUGGGCCAGAUUUGGCUGAGCACCAUUGUGUUGAUAACCUCUGAUCUACAAGAUUGGCUGUUGCUCUUAUUUCAGCCAAGUAGAAAUGGACCAAGAGGUCCAUUUCUUUUGUAUGAUACUUAGAAGUACAUCAUUAAGGGGCUGGGGAUUUAGCUCAGUGGUUCUGCCACCUGCCUCGUAAGCAGAAGGUCCCGAGUUUGAUCCCUGGGAGGGAGAGAGAGAGAGAGAGAAAGAGAGAGAGAGAGAGAAGUACAUCAUUAAGUUAAUUUUAUAAAAAAAGUCAAACAUUUUACCUGAGGGGGUUACAUAAUUUAACAUGGUCAUUAGUAGUGUAUAUGAUGGUGCUUCCAUAGUUUAAAAAAAGUCUGUGUCCUUUACCAGGCCCCUGUAACCUAGUAGUCUUGAGAUUUCAAAUCUGAGCUGUCUGUAGUGGUACAAUUCUUUUUGCUUUGCUUUGAUUGGGUAUAUUUAUCCACAGUGGUCUGAGUAAACUGAACACACACUUUCUAAUUUUUUAAGUCACCUUUUUAAGAUCAAUUAACUGUUGGUUUUGUUCCUAGGUUCUGUGGAGUCUUGCCUAGUGUAUGAGUAUUCAUGAGUUUAGUCGAGGACUAUAGAAUUUAUUUGCAGACUCUGGACCUCAUCUUCCGUUAUUUCCUCCUUUUGGGGAUUUUCUUUCUUAAGUUUUUGGUGUCCUGUGGCCAAAAGGACCAGGUUUUCUGCUUCAGUUCCAUCUGAUGAGACACAGAAUUGGUUGUACCCUCACAGGAUAGGCAUGCAUAUAUAUAUAUAUAUAUAUAUAUAUAUAUAUAUAUAUAUGCGCAAAGUAUCAUUCAGUGUACUGCCUUUCUUUGUGACUAUGGACUUCCUGCUAGUUUUCAGUUGUUCUCCAGUACAUUCAAAAAGUUCAUUUUUAAUAUUUCUCCACAGUUUCUAAUUGUUAUUGGACAGAGGCCAACAUGACCAUCACAAAGCUAGACCUCUUAAAGAAUUUGUUUUGUGUAGUUUGUUUCAGUCAUUUAUAAAGAGAUGUUGGACCUUGUUUCUACUUGGAGUUUCAAAAUCUCUUCCAGUCAUUUAUAAUAGAUGAAGCUAUUGUUGCUGGGCAGUGGAGCAUUAUGUAAAUGUAGGACAGGAUUUAUAACAUACUUAGCAUUUAUGAAAAGAAAUAGAAGAUUAGAACACACCUAAAAUGGGAAAUGUGUUACUCUAAUUUAGGCAUAGGUUGAUAGUAGUUAGCCAAAUAAAUUGAAAUUCAAGUAACUACUUUACCAUUCCAAAUUUCUGACUUGUUAAAAAUCACCUUUAAGAGAGAUCUCACUUUUGAAAUUUCUGACUGACUUUGAUGGAUUUUGGUGGUUAAAAUCCACCAGGUAUAUUAGUUCAGAUCUCAGAGUCCAGGAACGAAGAGAAAUUUGGCCAACUUAAAAUAUAUUAUGCUCCAGGAAAAGUAAGAAUGUAGCUAAAAAUGGAAAUUAAUACCAUCAGCAUUGGUACUAUUUUGAUCUCGUCUGCUGAUACUCACUGUGGUAAGAUAUAUCAUCAAGAUAUUGGUAGUAAUAGGUGAACAUUGAAGGAGGGCUAACAUUUUAAACAUUUUGUCAGCAGUGCUGUGCUAAAUAGUAGCAGCAGUGCCUUGUUUCAUUUUCUGUAUAUAUAAUGUUUCUUUGAAACAUUUUUGAAGUAUAGUGUAAUCAGUUUUUACUUGAUUUAACUUCAAACUUUAAAAAGUCUAUAAAAAUGUGUCUGCAAUAUAAAAUGAAAAUAUUGAUACGUGAAAAGGAAGAAAAUUAAAUUACUGUAACCAUAAUCCUUCUACCAGGGACAACCACUUGGGAGGCAUAUAUCCUUUUAGUCAGUUUUCUGUUUUAAUUUUCAAAGCUGGAUAU